rnacentral:rRNA from 1 species
AACUCGCUGUGAAGAUGCAGUGUACCCGCGGCAAGACGGAAAGACCCCGUGAACCUUUACUAUAGCUUGACACUGAACAUUGAGCCUUGAUGUGUAGGAUAGGUGGGAGGCUUUGAAGUGUGGACGCCAGUCUGCAUGGAGCCGACCUUGAAAUACCACCCUUUAAUGUUUGAUGUUCUAACGUUGACCCGUAAUCCGGGUUGCGGACAGUGUCUGGUGGGUAGUUUGACUGGGGCGGUCUCCUCCUAAAGAGUAACGGAGGAGCACGAAGGUUGGCUAAUCCUGGUCGGACAUCAGGAGGUUAGUGCAAUGGCAUAAGCCAGCUUGACUGCGAGCGUGACGGCGCGAGCAGGUGCGAAAGCAGGUCAUAGUGAUCCGGUGGUUCUGAAUGGAAGGGCCAUCGCUCAACGGAUAAAAGGUACUCCGGGGAUAACAGGCUGAUACCGCCCAAGAGUUCAUAUCGACGGCGGUGUUUGGCACCUCGAUGUCGGCUCAUCACAUCCUGGGGCUGAAGUAGGUCCCAAGGGUAUGGCUGUUCGCCAUUUAAAGUGGUACGCGAGCUGGGUUUAGAACGUCGUGAGACAGUUCGGUCCCUAUCUGCCGUGGGCGCUGGAGAACUGAGGGGGGCUGCUCCUAGUACGAGAGGACCGGAGUGGACGCAUCACUGGUGUUCGGGUUGUCAUGCCAAUGGCACUGCCCGGUAGCUAAAUGCGGAAGAGAUAAGUGCUGAAAG